rnacentral:rRNA from 1 species
UACAGGGGGGGCAAGCGUUGUUCGGAAUUACUGGGCGUAAAGGGCCAGUAGGCGGCCAACUAAGUCCGACGUGAAAUCCCCAAGCUUAACUUGGGAACUGCGUCGGAUACUGGAUGGCUUGAAUUCGGGAGAGGGAUGCAGAAUUCCAGGUGUAGCGGUGAAAUGCGUAGAUAUCUGGAGGAACACCGGUGGCGAAGGCGGCAUCCUGGACCGACAUUGACGCUGAGGCGCGAAAGCCAGGGGAGCAAACGGG